CGCCGCAGAUAAGCGAUGAGGGACACAAGGCUCUCAAGGAUUCAAAUAAAUGCCCGUCAGAUAUUCAAACACUUUUGGGGAAUUGAUGACAGAGAGUUUUUUAUUGUUUUACUUUUUUUUUUUUUUUUUUUAAAUAUAGAUGAAUAAAGAAACAAAUUGGCUCCAGGCAAAAGGGCACGUUUCUCAUCCAGGGCAAAAGGGCUAAUGCUGGAGCACCACUGGGGGUCUAUUUGUGUACAUCCGUGGUGUUCAUGACUCAACAAUAAAGAAUAGACUGCAGAAAAAUGGCAUCUAUGGCAGAGCUCUAAGGCGUCUAAGUUUGUGGCCUUGAGCUGAAGAGCACUUGGGUUCUGAAGCAGGACAACAAUCCAAAACACACCGACCGCUUCAGGAGACAAAAGAUGAGCUCUGCCCCUUUUCUACUGGUUCUGACACACGCACGCACGCACACACACGCACGCACGCACGCACACAAUCUCUUUCACAUUCUUCUUCCUGCCCUCCCUUACUGCCACAA